rnacentral:lncRNA from 1 species
CAGGCUGGUCUCAAACUCCUGACCUCAAGUGAUCCGCCUGCCUCAGCCUGCCAAAGUGCUGGGAUUACAGGUGUGAGCCACCGUGCCCGGCCCUUACUAAGUAUUUUCAGGAGAGUCUAGCACCUUUUAAGCUCUGGUAAGAGACAUUUGCCAUCUAUUCUCUCUGAAGCCUGCUACCUGGAUGCUUCAUCUACAUAACAAGAACCUUGGCUUCCACAAUCCCCCCUGAAUUUAGCCCCAUUUUUUUCUGCAGACUUCAACUCUUUAGGCAAAACUUAAGUCUUUCAACCAACUACCAGCCCGGAAAUCUUUGAAUCCACCUAUGACUGGGAAGCUCCCCUCAGACAUUCCACCUUUCCAGACUGAACCAGCGUGCACCUUGCAUGUAUUGACUGAUCUCUGCCUAUAACUUUGGUCACCCUAAAAUGUAUAAAACCAAGCUGGAGGCCAGACGAGUGGCUCACACCUGUAUCCCAGCACUUUGAGAGGCCGAGGCAGGCAGAUCACUUGAGGUCAGGAGUUUGAGACCAG